AUGCCGGCAGGGGUAAAUUCUACCUCUAUCAUUCUUAUUUCUAAGAUUCCUAAUCCUACUACUUUGUCCCAUUACAGGCCUAUCAGUCUUUGUAAUGUUAUUUACAAAGUUAUCUCUAAAUGUUUGGUGAGUCGUUUGCGGCCACUUCUCGAUGAUAUUGUGUCUCCGGAACAGAGUGCUUUUAUUCCUGGGCGAAUGAUCACGGAUAAUGCUCUUAUUGCCUUUGAGUGUAUACACCACAUCAAACAAGAAAAAGAUCCAACCAAAAGUUUUUGUGCUUAUAAGCUUGACCUCUCUAAGGCUUAUGACAGGGUGGACUGGAAAUUCCUGAAGCAGGUGAUGCAAAAGCUGGGUUUCUCUCAACGGUGGGUGGACUGGAUAAUGUCUUGUGUCACAACGGUGAGAUAUUCUGUCAAACUUAAUGGGACCCUCUUAGAUUCAUUUGCACCGUCACGUGGUCUUCGGCAGGGCGAUCCUCUUUCUCCCUUCUUGUUCCUUUUUUUGGCUGAUGGCUUAUCUGCAAUCCUCAAGCACUAUGUGUCUGUGGGUGAGAUUUCUCCGUUAAAAGUGUGUAGAAGAGGCCCUGGGAUUUCUCAUCUUUUGUUUUCUGAUGACACCAUGCUGUUUUUUGAGGCAUCACGUGCUCAGACUGAGAAAGUUAAAUUGGCUUUGGAUAUUUAUGGUAAGGCAACUGGACAAAGUUUG
rnacentral:rRNA from 1 species